GAUGAACGCUGGCGGCGUGCCUAAUACAUGCAAGUCGAGCGAACGGACGAGAAGCUUGCUUCUCUGAUGUUAGCGGCGGACGGGUGAGUAACACGUGGAUAACCUACCUAUAAGACUGGGAUAACUUCGGGAAACCGUAGCUAAUACCGGAUAAUAUUUUGAACCGCAUGGUUCAAAAGUGAAAGACGGUCUUGCUGUCACUUAUAGAUGGAUCCGCGCUGCAUUAGCUAGUUGGGAAGGUAACGGCUUACCAAGGCAACGAUGCAUAGCCGACCUGAGAGGGUGAUCCGCCACACUGGAACUGAGACACGGUCCAGACCACUACGGGAGGCAGCAGUAGGGAAUCUUCCGCAAUGGGCGAAAGCCUGACGGAGCAACGCCGCGUGAGUGAUGAAGGUCUUCGGAUCGUAAAACUCUGUUAUUUGGGAAGAACAUAUGUGUAAGUAACUGUGCACAUCUUGACGGUACCUAAUCAGAAAGCCACGGCUCACUACG
rnacentral:rRNA from 1 species